UACGUAGGGGGCGAGCGUCGUCCGGAGUUACUGGGCGUAAAGAGUGUGUAGGUGGUUCUCUAAGUUUGGUGUGAAAUCUCCCGGCUCAACUGGGAGGGUGCGCCGAAAACUGGAGGGCUUGAGUAUGGGAGAGGAAAGCGGAAUUCCUGGUGUAGCGGUGAAAUGCGUAGAUAUCAGGAGGAACACCUGCGGUGUAGACGGCUUUCUGGACCAUUACUGACACUGAGACACGAAAGCGUGGGGAGCAAACAG
rnacentral:rRNA from 1 species